AGUGAACGCUGGCGGUAGGCCUAACACAUGCAAGUCGAACGGCAGCACAGGAGAGCUUGCUCUCUGGGUGGCGAGUGGCGGACGGGUGAGGAAUACAUCGGAAUCUACUCUGUCGUGGGGGAUAACGUAGGGAAACUUACGCUAAUACCGCAUACGACCUACGGGUGAAAGCAGGGGACCUUCGGGCCUUGCGCGAUUGAAUGAGCCGAUGUCGGAUUAGCUAGUUGGCGGGGUAAAGGCCCACCAAGGCGACGAUCCGUAGCUGGGCUGAGGGGAUGAUCAGCCACACUGGAACUGAGACACGGUCCAGAAUCCUACGGGAGGCAGCAGUGGGGAAUAUUGGACAAUGGGCGCAAGCCUGAUCCAGCCAUACCGCGUGGGUGAAGAAGGCCUUCGGGUUGUAAAGCCCUUUUGUUGGGAAAGAAAUCCAGCUGGCUAAUACCCGGUUGGGAUGACGGUACCCAAAGAAUAAGCACCGGCUAACUUCGUGCCAGCCGCCGCAGUAA
rnacentral:rRNA from 1 species